GUGACCAUAGAUUCAGGGAGAAGAGAAACAGCCAUGGUCCAGGAAGCAUCUCUCUGGGUGAAAUUUCUAGAAGAGAACGAUGUACUCAGCCUUUAAGACAUUACUAUCUUCGAUGGGCCGGCAGGUCUCCUGCAGCUCUGACCAUUGUUCCACCCAGUCGAUACGGAUGUGGCCCUCUUGUUGAGCCACUUGCUGUCUACAUGCUUCAUGGGGACACACAUCUUGUCCUGUAACCCCAUGCCCUCAGAAACCCAGCGAUGCAUCUCAUAUCAUCUUUUGCUCCUCACCCUCAAGGGGUCAAGUUGCUGGGAAACAGACCCUCAGAGAUGAGGCUUCCAGUGACACUUCUGACAGACACUAAAGGGGCCAAAGGGCCCAGUAGCAGGUUCAGAUGCUGUGUCUGUCCGCAGUUGACAACAGGAACAGGUAACAACUGGAAGGAUGAUUCCACACACAGCCCAGCCCCACAGGUGUAGCACAAUGCGUGGUGGAUGGACAGGAGAAGCCCCUCUAAAAAGAGUAGUGGCUGGUUCAAUGUAGCUCUUCUACAGAAGAGUAAAGGUUGCCUUCCUCAAAAUAAAUUAAAA
rnacentral:lncRNA from 1 species